AUCAUAGAGGCCCAGGGCAUGGGGAAAGGGGGAAAGCCUGGGAAUAAAGUGAGGUGCUGCCCCGUACCAGCUAGCAUGGGGCCUGGCACAAAGCCAUCUCAGCAAUCCAACUCCCUCGGGUGGUAACGGCAAGAGGAACUCUGGAGACCUCUUCCUCCUGCUAUACCACCUGCGGGAGUUGAAUUACUGGGAUGGCUUUGUGCCAGGCUAGGUCCUUGAAUAAGUCACCUCAUCUCUCUGGGCCUGUUUCCUCAUGUGUACAACGGGUGGCUUAAACGAGAGGCUUUUCCAGCUCUGCUGCAUUCAGAUUGUCCGACUUGGCAGCUGAGGCCCAGAGAGGGUGUGUCAGUUGCCAAGGCCCCACGGGCAGGCAGGUCAGGGGCGAGCUCACAAAAGUGAGUACUUUGCAACAGUGGUUCCCCAGCCUGGCUGUGCUUCAGAAUCACCAGCAGAGCUUUUAAAAAUAUGCUGUUUUAAAAACAGAUUCCAAGUCCAACCCCAGGCUAUCGAAUCAGAAUUGCUGGGGAAGUUUCUAGUUUAAGAAACGGUUCAGAUGAUACUGAUACUCAGAGUUGAGGACUAUUGCCUCCUACUCACCGUAUUACUCCUCAGUGGGGAGGUUAGUGAUGUGUGUGUGUGUGUGUGUGUGUGUGUGUGUGUGUGUGUGUGUGUUAGGAGGGUGGGCAGCAGUUUAAUGCUAGCCCCCAGGCCAUAAGGUCAUUGCCUUCCAUACUCCCUUCACAGGAACAUUUGUUGGAGCUCCCAGCCUGCUACUUAGGGGCACACAGAGUAUGUCUAUGAUGAGACAGCGGCAUGUGGUGGGAGGGUGUCCAUGGCUGAUUCUCAGUCAUACCAAUCAGAUACUGACUUCCUUCCAUACCAGUUGGUAAAUGGCUGCUGCCCUGAGCAGCCCACAUGCCCUCCCCUGCCCUGGCCCUUCCUGUGGGAGUCUCCUGGAUCCUACUCCAUUAUAUAGCAACUAAAGGGGCAAUGCCUGGUAUGGGAGGUGGCCCCUGGGCCCUGCUCCUGCAGCUGUGUCCAGAGCCAUUCUGGCACGUCCAUGUCUAUGCAGUGCGUGUGUCAACCUGUGGGACUCAGCUUGACUUCAGUGUCAGAUGAGAACUCCCUGUGGGGGCAGCCAUUAUCUUUCCCAUUUCAGCAAACAUUUAUCCAUGCUUACCCUGUGCUGGGCCCUGGGGACACAAAUACUAGUCAGACCAGCUGUGCCUGGGCUCUGGGAUAAGGCUGCACGCACUGCCUACAGGCCUGAGAGCAGAGCGCAGGAAGCUCCCUGCCCAGCCCAGCUACCUAGGAGAAAGGAGGGUGGGAAGGUGACUAUCUCCCUGAGACUGGGAGAGGAGACAGCUGCCCAGCUGCCCUGUGCUACGGCGCUGAGGAAUGCCACCUGGGAGUUGGGAGGGGGCACGGCCGGUUCUGUUCCAGCCUCACCCCCCGUCUCUCUUGGCAGAUGCAGUCCACCUAUGUCCUGCAGGGUCUUCACCUCCACAUUCCAAACAUUUUCCCAGCCAACCCGGCCAACAUCUCCAUGGCCCUGAGAGCCCAGGGCAGCAGCUACACGGUGAGAGAUAAAGCAUGUGUUCGGCACCCAGUUUAGCCAGGUAGCAGCUUCCUCUGAGAAGAGGAGGAAAUGAAACUGCCUUCACCCUUCCCUGUCCUGCCUGCAAGGCAACCUCAGGAUACAGGAAAAGCACCUGGAGGGUGGGAGGACUUGUGUCACAGCACAGGGAUCCUGCCAAGAUGCUCAACUGCUUGAAAGAGUUCAGGCCAGCUGCACACCCCCAUGCUGCUGCUCUGAAGCAGGUCUCGCUGCCUAAUUUGCACCCUCAGAUCAAGCACACUCAGGUCCCUUUUCAACUCUUCCUUGUCCCCUCUUUCUCUGGGACCCUUAGAUACCUAGAUCUCUGCCUUUCCCAGAACUUUCUAAACCAGUUCCUUGGCAUUUCAGAGACUUAUGAAAUGAAUGAUCUGCAGAGCUGGCAGAUAAAUGAGAAAUUUGCCAUUGUACUCCAUUUCCUUGCCCAUGGCAGACAUCACUAGUCAAUCAUGACUUUUUUAUGCUGAGCCCAUAAAUGUUCCAUAAUCAGCCACUACCAAUUGAUAAAAGUUAGAAUACAAGAGGAACCUAUUUGCCAUCUCUAUAUAAUCCCACUCCCUGAUUACACAGCUGAGGAGUGUGAACUCCAGAGAGGGGAAGGAGCUGGACCCAGGGUCACCCAGGGCCAGUCUAGAGUCCAGGUCUCCUGACUGCAGCCAGGCUCCUUGCACUCUGCUAGCCUGCCUCUCUUGACUUCCUCCUGCCCAGAUCCCGGAAGCCUGGCUCCUCCUGGCCAAUGUCGUGGUGGUGCUGAUUCUGGUCCCUCUGAAGGACCGCUUGAUCGACCCUUUACUGCUGCGGUGCAAGCUGCUUCCCUCUGCUCUGCAGAAGAUGGCGCUGGGGAUGUUCUUUGGUUUUACCUCCGUCAUCGUGGCAGGUGUGCAGAGGGGUGUGGGGCAGAGGGCUGAACUUUGGGCUUGGGGAAGUCUGCUUCCACCAUGGGCUGAUGCUGAAGUGGUAGCCUGGGCCAAGUUCAGCCUCUCCCACUGGGCGUCAGUGUUGGCUUCCCAGAGGUGCAAGCUGAAAGAGACCCUCCUAUCUAAUCCAGCUGCCCCUCAUUUUGACAGAAGAGGAAACUCAGGCCGAGAGAGGAACAAAUAUUUUCCCCAGUGAAUUAUAAGCUCCUUGAAGGCAGAGAUUGUUUUUCUUUUUUAUUCACUGCUAUGAACAUGCACGUGGGCCCUCCAUAAAUGUGUUGAAUGAAUUUUCCACUUAGCGGCAAAUGAAGACUUAGAAAAAAAUUAUCUUCCUUCUUCCAUUUCAAAAGGAUCUGAAGCCAUUUGUUACAAAGUGGGUGUUGUCGGGGGCGGGGCGGGGGGGAUCAGCUAAAGAAGUCUUUCACACUGUUGCACAAACCUGAACCCUUUUUACUUAGUAACUUUAUGACCCUGAAGUUCCUUAGAGUCUCUGAGCUGCAUCUUUAAAAUGGGGACAGGUGUGAUUCAGACCCUGAGCAGGGCUCUGCCCUUGUGGAACUCAGUCUGAUGGGGGGUGUUGUGAGGAUUAUAGGAGAUGAAGUCUGUAAAGCACUCAGUAGUGUGCCUGGAUCACAAGUAUGAGCUGGAUAAAUGAAAGCUCCAUAAACGGUAUUGUGUUGAAAGUGUGAAAACCCAACUAGAUUUUAUUCCAGCUAUAUCCUUAAAGCAGUUUGUCCUAUUUUAUCCUCACAAUAAUCCUGGGACUGUUAUUCCUGCUUCUUGUGUAAGGGAACUGAGUCUAGAGAGGUUAAGUGAUUUGCCCAAGGUCACACAGCUAGCCAGGCUGGGAACCCAGGUCCCCCAACUCCAUGUCCAGUGUUCAUUCCACUAGAGCACAGCUAUCUCCCAAGCAACGCAGGAGAAGGAGAUAACAUAGUUAAACUUGAAAGCCGGGUUAGAAACACUACAGCAAUACUUGACGUUGCAGUAGAGAAGUCAUGCGAUAUCGUGGAAAGUAGGCCAGCUUUGAAACCAGACAUACCAGAGCUCAAAUCCAGCCCUGACUACUUAUCAGCUGUGUGACUGUGGGCUAGUUUCUUAACUUUCUAGUUAAGCACUUGAAAGUGCUAGUUAUUUCACUUUCUUCACCAGCAAGGAUGCAUAGUAAAUGCCUAGCACCUAACAGUUUCUCCAUUAAUGAGAGUUGUUACCGUUAUUGAGUGCAAAACUCAGCUCGGAGCUUCUAGCAGCCAAGACCAAAAGGGAGGAGUUGGUCACAUCUUGGCCCCCUCCUCCACCCCCCAAUCCAGUAUUCUUUUCCUUGCCUGCUGCUCAAUCUUUGGCUACUUCAUGAGUACCCCAUACCCACCAUGUACAAGCUCUUCUGUGGGCUAAGCUGCCUGGGGUGGGCCUGACUAUAAUCCCCCUCUGCUCCUCCACCAGGGGUCCUGGAGAUGGAGCGCUUACACUACAUCCACCACAACGAGACCGUGUCCCAGCAGAUUGGGGAGGUCCUGUACAACGCGGCACCACUGUCCAUCUGGUGGCAGAUCCCUCAGUACCUGCUUAUUGGGAUCAGUGAGAUCUUUGCCAGCAUCCCAGGCCUGGAGUUUGCCUACUCAGAGGCCCCGCGCUCCAUGCAGGGCGCCAUCAUGGGCAUCUUCUUCUGCCUGUCGGGGGUGGGCUCACUGUUGGGCUCCAGCCUAGUGGCACUGCUGUCCUUGCCCGGGGGCUGGCUGCACUGCCCCGAGGACUUUGGGAACAUCAACAAUUGCCGGAUGGACCUCUACUUCUUCCUGCUGGCUGGCAUUCAGGCCGUCACGGCUCUCCUAUUUGUCUGGAUUGCUGGACGCUAUGAGAGGGCGUCCCAGGGCCCAGCUUCCCACAGCUGUUUCAGCAGGGACAGGGGCUGAACAGGCCCUAUUCCAGCCCCCUUGCUUCACUCCACCAGACAGACGGCAGCAGUCCCAGCUCUGGUUUCCUUCUCGGUUUAUUCUGUUAGAAUGAAAUGGUUCCCAUAAAUAAGGGGCAUGAGCCCUUC
rnacentral:sRNA from 1 species